rnacentral:rRNA from 1 species
AGAUUGAACGCUGGCGGCAGGCCUAACACAUGCAAGUCGAGCGGCAGCACGGGUACUUGUACCUGGUGGCGAGCGGCGGACGGGUGAGUAAUGCCUAGGAAUCUGCCUGAUAGUGGGGGAUAACGUUCGGAAACGGACGCUAAUACCGCAUACGUCCUACGGGAGAAAGUGGGGGAUCUUCGGACCUCACGCUAUCAGAUGAGCCUAGGUCGGAUUAGCUAGUUGGUAGGUAAAGCCUACCAAGGCUACGAUCCGUAACUGGUCUGAGAGGAUGAUCAGUCACACUGGAACUGAGACACGGUCCAGACUCCGUACGGG